rnacentral:rRNA from 1 species
UACGAAGGUGGCAAGCGUUGUUCGGAUUUACUGGGCGUAAAGGGCGCGUAGGCGGUCUUUUAAGUUCCGUGUGAAAUCCCUCGGCUCAACUGGGGAACUGCACGGGAAACUGGAAGGCUUGAGUUCGGGAGAGGGAAGCGGAAUUCCGGGUGUAGCGGUGAAAUUCGUAGAUAUUCGCAAGAACACCAGUGGCGAAGGCGGCUCACUGGUCCGGUACUGACGCUGAGGUGCGAAAGCGUGGGGAGCAAACAGG